rnacentral:rRNA from 1 species
GAUGAACGCUGGCUCCAGGCUUAACACAUGCAAGUCGAGGGGAAACGACGGGGAAGCUUGCUUCCCCGGGCGUCGACCGGCGCACGGGUGAGUAACGCGUAUCCAACCUGCCUCUGACUGAGGGAUAACCCGUCGAAAGUCGGCCUAAUACCUCAUGGUAUCGUCUGCGGGCAUCCAACGACGAUUAAAGAUUUCAUCGGUCAGGGAUGGGGAUGCGUCUGAUUAGCUUGUUGGCGGGGUAACGGCCCACCAAGGCUACGAUCAGUAGGGGUUCUGAGAGGAAGGUCCCCCACAUUGGAACUGAGACACGGUCCAAACUCCUACGGGAGGCAGCAGUGAGGAAUAUUGGUCAAUGGGCGAGAGCCUGAACCAGCCAAGUAGCGUGCAGGAAGACGGCCCUAUGGGUUGUAAACUGCUUUUAUGCGGGGAUAAAGUGAGGGACGUGUCCCUCAUUGCAGGUACCGCAUGAAUAAGGACCGGCUAAUUCCGUG